rnacentral:lncRNA from 1 species
GGAAUGUACUGAGUUUAUUAAUCACAUAAGGGCAAUACAAUAGAAGUAUUGUUGAAUUUAACUUCUCGAUUCUGAAACUGCUUGUUUUUGAGAACUCUGGUCAGAAAUUAAAGGGAUGGAAAAUUAGGAAGGAAAGCUUCUUUUCUUUUAUUCCAUUGUACCUAUAAACAGUUGACUAAAUUUUCCCAAGUCAUUCCUACAACGAUCUGCAAGGCAAAUUACUAUAUUCACUGAACACUUGAAACUCCAGUACACAUUUCUGCAUGCUGAUUGAUCAUUCCCCUUUGAUGAAAAUACCAGGUAGAAGUCUUCUUUCUUUUUGCUCCUGAGGAGUUUUCUCACUGAGUUUAAUGGAAAAGAUAUAUUCUCUUUCUGUGCUCAAAAAGGAAAAUCCUAAUAUUGAUGCAAAUGGAACACUGCUUUAAUUCCACUAAGUUUGUAAUUAUAUCUCACAAGAGCCCAUAGGACAAGCAAAAAGUUCAACGGGCUACUAGAUGGGAGGUAUGCGUUUUCACUUCUUGAAAAGAAAACAGACAGACCCUCAGUCCGUUGCUUAGCGAAGAAAGAACACAUUAAGAGGAGGUCAACACACGCUCUCCUAUCCGUAACUCACGUAUUACAUCACUGAUUUCACGAGGGCGGGAACCGUCACAGGCCCCGGCAUCCGCUACCACAGCGCCUCCUCGCGGGCGCGGCGCAGCGCACACGGUCGCCCAUCGCUGCAGGGCGGCGCGAGGGGGGCGGUUCGCUCUCGGACGCCGUUACGCGGCGCAGUGCGGGUUCGGGUUCCGGCAGGCCGGACCAGCGAAGGGAGCGGGGGAUGAUGUGGCCCCCCCUGCGCCAAAACGCGAUUCCUCCUUGGGGUUUGCUGGGCUCCGGUAUUCCCUGCUCCUGCCGAGCAGCGUUUCACUAUUCCUCUAGCACUCAAGAGAAACUGUCCCAACAGCAAGGCUGUGCCAUGGGGCUGCUUGUAGGGGCCGGUGGAACAUCUUGUCCUACUUGAGCACAUCUCAUCCC